rnacentral:tRNA from 1 species
GCUUCCGUAGCUCAAUUGGUUAAGAGCAUUGCACAGAUUGCAAAAAGGAUGCGGGUUCAAGUCCCGCCGGAAGCG